rnacentral:piRNA from 1 species
UGUUUAUUUUCACUGCCAAAU